rnacentral:piRNA from 1 species
UGUGAGUGACCUUGAUUCCAGCUUUCUGG